GCUAGUUUAGCAUAAUUUAAGUGUGUGGAAUUGUAGCUUCCGAGGUAAUAUAAAUUAACUAGAA
rnacentral:tRNA from 1 species